rnacentral:rRNA from 1 species
AACGAACGCUGGCGGCAUGCCUAACACAUGCAAGUCGAACGAGACCUUCGGGUCUAUUGGCGCACGGGUGCGUAACGCGUGGGAACCUUCCCUUAGGUUCGGAAUAACUCCCCGAAAGGGGUGCUAAUACCGGAUAAUGUCUUCGGACCAAAGAUUUAUCGCCUUUGGAUGGGCCCGCGUUGGAUUAGCUAGUUGGUAGGGUAAAAGCCUACCAAGGCGACGAUCCAUAGCUGGUCUGAGAGGAUGAUCAGCCACACUGGGACUGAGACACGGCCCAGAAUCCUACGGGAGGCAGCAGUGGGGAAUAUUGGACAACGGGCGAAAGCCUGAUCCAGCAAUGCCGCGUGAGUGAUGAAGGCAUUAGGGUUGUAAAGCUCUUUUAACCGGGAUGAUAAUGACAGUACCGGGAGAAUAAGCUCCGGCUAACUCCGUG